UUGUACCCUGUUGCUUCGGCGGGCCCGCCGCUUGUCGGCCGCCGGGGGGGCGCCUCUGCCCCCCGGGCCCGUGCCCGCCGGAGACCCCAACACGAACACUGUCUGAAAGCGUGCAGUCUGAGUUGAUUGAAUGCAAUCAGUUAAAACUUUCAACAAUGGAUCUCUUGGUUCCGGCAUCGAUGAAGAACGCAGCGAAAUGCGAUAACUAAUGUGAAUUGCAGAAUUCAGUGAAUCAUCGAGUCUUUGAACGCACAUUGCGCCCCCUGGUAUUCCGGGGGGCAUGCCUGUCCGAGCGUCAUUGCUGCCCUCAAGCCCGGCUUGUGUGUUGGGUCGCCGUCCCCCUCUCCGGGGGGACGGGCCCGAAAGGCAGCGGCGGCACCGCGUCCGAUCCUCGAGCGUAUGGGGCUUUGUCACAUGCUCUGUAGGAUUGGCCGGCGCCUGCCGACGUUUUCCAACCAUUCUUUCCAGGUUGACCUCGGAUCAGGUAGGGAUACCCGCUGAACUUAA
rnacentral:rRNA from 1 species